rnacentral:lncRNA from 1 species
AUCUUAUAGAUUGAGUAUACGAAGCAAGAUACAAAUUACUCCAUUUAUAUAAAUGUAAAAAAAAAAACAAAACAAAACCUAGGCAGCAUAGCCAAACCCUGUCUGCACAAAAAUGUAAAAUAAAAUUAGCCAGGUAUGGUGGAGGAUGAGUCCUAGCUACUUAGGAGGCUGAGGUGUGUGGAUCACUUGAGCCAGGAGUUCAAGGCUGCAGUGAGUCAUGACAGGACAGAGGGAGACCUGUCUACUGUCUGUCCCUAUAGAAAAAGAAAAAAUCUCCUGGUGUCUUUUCCUGAAUUUGGCAGACAGGAUGGCCAGAGGAAAUGCAUCAAUGCAGAGGGACAGAAACAGCAGUGUGGCCUGGGAAAGGUCAGGCUUUGACACAAGGAAUUUAGAGAAGAAAAAAGGUGUGGUCUGCUGUUUCAUUCAGUCCAUUAUCUGUUGAGCAUUCCUUUUUUUAUUCAAAUAGAGCAGAAGAAAGGAGCUUGAAAUGGACAGUUAUCUCUGGUUUAUCUGGCUGUAGAGUGCAGAGAUGAUUCUCUUUCAGGAUGGGAGAGGGGGUGGGGAGG